rnacentral:rRNA from 1 species
CGGUAUGGGAUGGGGUCGCGUCCUAUCAGCUUGAUGGCGGGGUAACGGCCCACCAUGGCUUCGACGGGUAGCCGGCCUGAGAGGGCGACCGGCCACAUUGGGACUGAGAUACGGCCCAGACUCCUACGGGAGGCAGCAGUGGGGAAUAUUGCACAAUGGGCGCAAGCCUGAUGCAGCGACGCCGCGUGCGGGAUGACGGCCUUCGGGUUGUAAACCGCUUUUGACUGGGAGCAAGCCCUUCGGGGUGAGUGUACCUUUCGAAUAAGCACCGGCUAACUACGUGCCAGCAGCCGCGGUAAUACGUAGGGUGCAAGCGUUAUCCGGAAUUAUUGGGCGUAAAGGGCUCGUAGGCGGUUCGUCGCGUCCGGUGUGAAAGUCCAUCGCUUAACGGUGGAUCCGCGCCGGGUACGGGCGGGCUUGAGUGCGGUAGGGGAGACUGGAAUUCCCGGUGUAACGGUGGAAUGUGUAGAUAUCGGAA